rnacentral:rRNA from 1 species
AACGAACGCUGGCGGCAUGCCUAACACAUGCAAGUCGAACGAGACCUUCGGGUCUAGUGGCGCACGGGUGCGUAACGCGUGGGAAUCUGCCCUUGGGUUCGGAAUAACAGUUAGAAAUGACUGCUAAUACCGGAUAAUGUCUUCGGACCAAAGAUUUAUCGCCCAGGGAUGAGCCCCGCGUAGGAUUAGCUAGUUGGUGAGGUAAAGGCUCACCAAGGCGACGAUCCUUAGCUGGUCUGAGAGGAUGAUCAGCCACACUGGAACUGAAACACGGUCCAGACUCCUACGGGAGGCAGCAGUAGGGAAUAUUGCGCAAUGGACGAAAGUCUGACGCAGCCACGCCGCGUGAGUGAGGAAGGCCUUCGGGUUGUAAAGGUCUCUGUCAACUGGG